UAGGGAAUCUUCGGCAAUGGGGGGAACCCUGACCGAGCAACGCCGCGUGAGUGAAGAAGGUUUUCGGAUCGUAAAGCUCUGUUGUUAAGGAAGAACGAGUGUGAGAAUGGAAAGUUCAUGCUGUGACGGUACUUAACCAGAAAGGGACGGCUAACUACGUGCCAGCAGCCGCGGUAAUACGUAGGUCCCGAGCGUUGUCCGGAUUUAUUGGGCGUAAAGCGAGCGCAGGCGGUUAGAAAAGUCUGAAGUGAAAGGCGGUGGCUCAACCAUUGUAGGCUUUGGAAACUGUUUGACUUGAGUGCAGACGGGGAGGGUGGAAUUCCAGGUGUAGCGGUGAAAUUCGUAGAUAUAUGGAGGAACACCGGUGGCGAAAGCGGCUCUCGGGUCUGUAACUGACGCUGAGGCUCGAAAGCGUGGGGGGCGAACAGG
rnacentral:rRNA from 1 species